AAAGUGAGCAUGUUGGUUCAAUGCGCAGAGCCCCGCUGAAGAGCUCUAGCAUUAAAAAAAGGCCCUGAAUUUGUUCUGCGCAGCGCAAGCAAAUGUAAUAACAUGCUUGCGCUGUGUUUGCUUUUAAAUUGUCUUUGGUGUCUCCACAAGUGGGAUACCAGAGGACAAAAGGGCCAGGAAAGUGUAUGGUGCAUGUGUUUGGCGGAUGCUUGUGGGAUUGCCUGUGUGUAGAGUGUGGUAUUGUGUAAAUAGGUCCAUUUUGUGCUGUAAUAUGUGUGGCUAGGGGCUGUAGAGAGUGCGUGUAUAGGGGGCAUAGUGUUAUAGGGGAUGUAGCGAGUGUG